rnacentral:lncRNA from 1 species
CUACCUCUUUGCCGCUCUUAAGCAUCCACUUAUUUUCUAAGAGUUGUGUUUGACUUAAGUAUCGGAUAAUCCACCACCAGACAUAUUUCAGUGGGUGAACUUUCUUAUUUUUGUUGUUUUGGAUUGGUUCUAGGAUCGAAAAAUUGAUUAGAGCUGCACCUCCGCCCCUAUCCAACAUUCAUUUGAAGGUGCUCGACGUCAUCACCAAUCGAGUGUAGCAGCCAUUGGAUCAUCAUUGGGG